rnacentral:rRNA from 1 species
UGGGGAAUAUUGCACAAUGGGCGAAAGCCUGAUGCAGCAACGUCGCGUGAGUGAUGAAGGCCUUCGGGUUGUAAAGCUCUGUCUUUUGGGACGAUAAUGACGGUACCAAAGGAGGAAGCCACGGCUAACUACGUGCCAGCAGCCGCGGUAAUACGUAGGUGGCAAGCGUUGUCCGGAUUUACUGGGCGUAAAGGAUGCGUAGGCGGAUUUUUAAGUGAGAUGUGAAAUACCCGGGCUUAACUUGGGUGCUGCAUUUCAAACUGGGAAUCUAGAGUGCGGGAGAGGAGAAUGGAAUUCCUAGUGUAGCGGUGAAAUGCGUAGAGAUUAGGAAGAACACCAGUGGCGAAGGCGAUUCUCUGGACCGUAACUGACGCUGAGGCAUGAAAGCGUGGGUAGCAAACAGGAUUAGAUACCCUGGUAGUCCACGCCGUAAACGAUGAGUACUAGGUGUAGGAGGUAUCGACCCCUUCUGUGCCGCAGUUAACACAAUAAGUACUCCGCCUGGGAAGUACGAUCGCAAGAUUAAAACUCAAAUGAAUUGACGGGGUC